rnacentral:rRNA from 1 species
GACGAACGCUGGCGGCGUGCCUAAUACAUGCAAGUCGAGCGAAGCGGCGGAUGGGUGAGUAACGCGUGGGUAACCUGACCUUAAGUCUGGGAUAACAUUUGGAAACAGAUACUAAUACCGGAUACGAAUGGAUGGACCUGAGAUGCAUUAGCUAGUUGGUAAGUGAACGGCUUACCAAGGCGAUGAUGCAUAGCCAAUGUGAGAGACUGAUCGGCCACAUUGGGACUGAGACACGGCCCAAACUCCUACGGUAGGCAGCAGUAGGGAAUCUUCCACAAUGGACGAAAGUCUGAUGGAGCAACGCCGCGUGAGUGAAGAAGGUUUUCGGAUCGUAAAGCUCUGUUGUUGGUGAAGCGGUAAUCAACCAGAAAGUCACGGCUAACUACGUGCCAGCAGCCGCGGUAAUUC